rfam:Staphylococcus simiae CCM 7213 contig00039, whole genome shotgun sequence.
AGUCAUCUGAGUUGUGCGUAUGUUUGCUUUUUAAUUUGGGCCUAACACUCUUUGAUCAGGGAGCCCAAUAGGUUUUCUUGCAGCGUACACGCCUUAUUACAAGGACGUACAAAACGAGAAACAGGGCACCCACCUGUAUAUAGCAGGCCGAAUGAUCAAGCUACUAUAACUACGGCAACUCGGACUCUAU